GAAAUGCGAUACGUAAUGUGAAUUGCAGAAUUCAGUGAAUCAUCGAAUCUUUGAACGCACCUUGCGCCCCUUGGCAUUCCGAGGGGCACACCCGUUUGAGUGUCGUGAAAUUCUCAAAACCCCUUCCUUUGCCGGAAUGGAUUUUGGACUUGGAGGCCUUUUGCUGGUUUCACCUCGAAGCCAGCUCCUCCUAAAUGGAUUAGUGGGGUCUGCUUUGCCGAUCCUUGACGUGAUAAGAUGCUUCUACGUCUCGGGUUAUUGGCACUGUGCCUCUGCUUCUAACCGUCUCUUUUGACAACGAUGGUGUUCCGGUCACCGCCGAUUCUUCGGUGGGAGGCUUGACCCACAAAACGACCUUGACCUCAAAUCGGGUGAGACUACCCGCUGAACUUAA
rnacentral:misc_RNA from 1 species